ACGAACGCUGGCGGCGUGCUUAACCCAUGCAAGUCGUACGGUAAGGCCCUUUCGGGGGUACACGAGUGGCGACCGGGUGAGUAACACGUGAGUAACCUGCCCACAACUUUGGGAUAACGCUAGGAAACUGGUGCUAAUACUGGAUAUGUGCUCCUGCUGCAUGGUGGGGGUUGGAAAGCUCCGGCGGUUGUGGAUGGACUCGCGGCCUAUCAGCUUGUUGGUGGGGUAGUGGCCUACCAAGGCGGCGACGGGUAGCCGGCCUGAGAGGGUGACCGGCCACAUUGGGACUGAGAUACGGCCCAGACUCCUACGGGGGGCAGCAGUGGGGAAUAUUGCACAAUGGGCGCAAGCCUGAUGCAGCAACGCCGCGUGCGGGAUGACGGCCUUCGGGUUGUAAACCGCUUUCAGCAGGGACGAAGCUUUUUGUGACGGUACCUGCAGAAGAAGCACCGGCUAACUACGUG
rnacentral:rRNA from 1 species